UCCCUUGUGGCUCAAACAGUAAAGUAUCUGCCUGCAAUGUGGGAGACCUGGGUUCGAUCCCUGGUUAGGGAA
rfam:Ovis aries breed Texel chromosome 4, whole genome shotgun sequence.